GGUGUCAGGAAGCAGUGGACAAUGAAGAAUGCAGUGCAACAACAGUAAGUGCAUGUCUCAUUGUCCAUUGCUUCCUGAUGUC
rnacentral:pre_miRNA from 1 species